rnacentral:lncRNA from 1 species
AUAGCUUCCCGGGGUUUACUCAGACUUCAGCCUCCCUCCUGAGGGCACAGACUCAGCCUGGCAGGCGCCUGCAGAGUGACGGCCUCAUCGCCCUUUUCUGGCUCCUCUGCUUCCUCUUUGUCCCCAACCUGGAGGAGCCGUUGAGGCGUGAUCAAGACAGACCUAAAUUCAGCUCCAGCUCUGCCCUUAACAAGACGGGAGACUUUAACGUUUUAGACCUUAACAGGGGUAAGUCACUUAAGUUUUAAGU